GCUGGUUGAUAGUAGCCGACUGUCGGUCGGUUUACCGAUCGUGGAUCGGUGUAAUGUAUUUAUACGGCUAAUGUAGAGUCGAAGUCAAAGAUCGAUUGACUUGUCUCAACAGACAUUUUGGCUUUUUACUUGAUAUUUAUUCUAUUCCAAAUAUAUAUACAUAAAUUUUUCUGAACAUCUAGGCUAUGAAUUUCUCCCCAUGC
rnacentral:lncRNA from 1 species